rnacentral:rRNA from 1 species
UACAGAGGGUGCGAGCGUUCAUCGGAAUUACUGGGCGUAAAGCGCGCGUAGGCGGUUUUGUAAGUCGGAUGUGAAAGCCCCGGGCUUAACCUGGGAACUGCAUUCGAGACUGCAUGACUGGAGUAUUGGAGAGGGCAGUGGAAUUUCCGGUGUAGCGGUGAAAUGCGUAGAUAUCGGAAGGAACAUCAGUGGCGAAAGCGACUGCCUGGCCAAAUACUGACGCUCAUGUGCGAAAGCGUGGGGAGCGAACAGG